UGACACCCUUCACCUCAUCAUGGCACUACAAAUCAUCAGCGUGCUUCUUUUCACUGUGUUUUUCUCCAAAGCACUGACACUGAUGUGUUACAACUGUACCACAAAAGUUUCACCUGGAACAUGCAAUCAAACUGCUAACUGUUCUUCAAACUUAGGGUGCAGCUCCAUGACCACAUACGAUGGCAGUGACAUUACUUAUAAUAAUAAAUGCGCAAAUACUACCUUGUGUGAUGACUGGAGUAUAACUCUUAGACAGAUCAGGAUGUUCUCCCACUGCUGUGCUUCAGAUCUCUGCAACAAUGCUACAGCUUCAGACUCAGAGAACGGAUUGAUGUGUUACACCUGCAAUGACAUAUACUGCUCAAACACCCAAACACUGAAAUGUAAAGGUGAUGAGAACCAGUGCAUCACUGCAGCAGUAAAUGUCAGCAAUAUCAUUUCAAAAGGAUGCGCAAGCCAAAACUUCUGUAAGAACAGUACACUAUGGAGAAAUGCACUAUUGAGCAGUAUAACAGGGAAUAGUACACUACCAAACAGUGCACCAUUGAACAAUUCACAAUUCCAACAGCCGUCCGUGUCUUCUGUUUCAUGUUGUGGAGCAAACCUGUGUAAUAAUGCCCCGAGUACGACACAGGAAGCUGUGUUGCUGCUAGUACCAGUCCUUUCCCUCUUUUUUUCCAUCUGAGAUCUGUUUUAAGAGGAUUUCUUUUGUUUUUUUUUAGUCUGUGGAUGCUUGUCUUUGUAAAUGCAAAGCAGUUUCGAGCUUUUCUGUUUAAUUGAGGGGAAUUUAUUUGCUUAAAAUGACCGUCUGUCUCAUAACAAGCAUGCUGCAAGCAUGUAUUUCUAAUCAUAAAUGUAAUCAUGUAAAAUAAAUAUUAAAUUAGGAAUACUUUAUUAGCAAUCUUAUUAAACACUAUAAUUUGAAUGACCAAAAUCCCUUGCUAUUUUCCUGUCAAUGUGCAGAACGAUUAGAAAGAGAGAAGAGUAACAGUGAUUAAUAAUUUCUUAUUGAUGGAAGUUGAAUUACAGCACAUUUUCACUGUUAUAUGAGCCCAUUCACUUUAGGUGCGCUAUGAAUAUUUGUAUACUAGAAGUAUUUUUUAAAUAAAAAAUAUGCUUCUUCCAAUGGAAUGCAUUUUGUUGACAGAGGAAGACAUCAUAUGAAAUUAGAUUUGUGAUUGAAUAAGAUGAAAAGAACUUUUCAAGAGUUACUUCAUUGUUGAUAAUGUAAUGAAUGUCAAGUUGAGUGUUCAAGCCCCUUUAUGUUAUAAUAUAAUAUAAUAUGUUACGUCCAAGGACGUACAGUAUGUUUAAUUAUUAUAGCGGUGUGUCAUGUAUUUUUAUGUGAAUAUUCAGUGUUUUGGACUGUGUGUUUUGUUCGUUGCCCUCUUUCUUUCUCCUUCCAUUGUAAUUCUGGUCCUCUGAUUGAUCAGCUGCUUUCAACAAGUUGAUGGAGGAGAUUAGAUGGUGUAAGGGAGGAGAAGAGAUAUAAGCAGCAUUGGAUCUGUGGAGAAGAGAGAGAGACUUCCUUUCAGGAGGAUGGAUUCUUCCUCCUGCUUCCCAGAAUCAUGUGUUGAUUUAUACUGUUGAGUUGUUUAUGAGCGACUGUUCUUUUCUCAGGGCUUCCUGUUCUCAGGAUGGGUUCAGGGUGUAUUCACACUAGGCACAGUGGCCUUGAACCGAGCCCGAGCGCGAUUGUGAAAUGUGUCAAAAACGGUUGUGAAAAAGUAUACUAGAUGUAGGAGCCAGUGUUAAUAUAAAUGUAUUUCAAACUAUCACCAGGUGGGGGCAGUAUGUGCACAGAGGGUUUUUUAAACAGGUGUUUCGUACACGUAGAAUUAGGAUUAGAGGAGGGAAAGCACCAGUGUUGCCAAUUUAGGGAUUUUGUCAAAAGUAUGUAACUAAGUGUUUGCAUUAUGUUCAAUAAAGUAGCCUAAUUAAGUAGUUGA